rnacentral:rRNA from 1 species
UACGUAGGGUGCGAGCGUUAAUCGGAAUUACUGGGCGUAAAGCGUGCGAAGGCGGUUUUGUAAGGCAGAUGUGAAAUCCCCGGGCUUAACCUGGGAAUGGCAUUUGGGACUGCAAGGCUUGAGUGCGGCAGAGGAGACUGGAAUUCCCGGUGUAGCAGUGAAAUGCGUAGAUAUCGGGAGGAAUACCGAUGGCGAAGGCAGGUCUCUGGGCUGACACUGACGCUCAUGCACGAAAGCGUGGGGAGCAAACAGG